UCCACCGAUGUUCAUCAGAAACACCAGUUGUCUCCCCCUCUUCCGUCGUGCAACCAUAAACUCGGUUGAGUUUCAACUGGAAAACUCAACUGGAGUGAAUCCUAACCCGGAAUCCGGUCACCUUUCCCAAAUCAAAUUUUUACAAACACAAACCUUAUAUUAAAUCUCACCCUAAAACCAAAUCUAGACCUAAUAUCCAGUUCAAGUAUCAACAAUCAUUGGUAAUUCUAGCAAGUAAUGAACAAAGCUAAAAAGGGAGAGGAAUAUGCCGUUCGGAAGUUACCAGGGAGAAGAAUCCAUAAUUAUGUAAAUUCCGUGCUGAUGAUGAUAUGGAUCUUUGAUGGGGGCAUAUUAUCAUGAGUUGCUCGCAUGAAGAAGCUGCAGACCAUGUUGACCUAUUUAUUUUUUCUUUUUAUUUUUUAUUAUUUGUAUAAAAUAUGUAAUCAUGUAAUAACUUUCAUUUUAAUUUUUUUUGUCUUAUGUGUAAAAGCAUGUAACAUUGAAUUGAUUAAUAGAAUUCCAAUAUUCCAUCUUA